UCCACCUGCAAUGCAGGAGAUCCUGGUUUGAUUCCUGGGUCAGGAAGAUCCCCUGGAGAAGUUGCCUGAAUAAAUCAUUUCCUUAACUGCUGGAUGCAUUUUCUUUCACAAGUCCAAACUCCUUAGAAGUUCCCAGAAGGCCCUUCAUAGUCCAAGUCCAGACUCCCCUUUUGCUACUUUUCCAACAAGCCUAAUCUCCAGCUCCAUAGUCUACUUGCAUCUGACUAUUAGCACCAUGUUCUCCUGGGUCUCUCUGCAUAAGCUACACCAUCUGUGCAGAACUCCUUGCCCACCUCAUCUUCCAGCUAGUCCCAUAGCAUUGCUUAGGACUGAAAUGAGCUCUUCCCUUCUUUUGGAAAUCUUCCUCGACCCCCUCCACAACUCAGUAUUUUGUUUACCUACAUCAGAGUACUUACCACACUAUUUUGGGCAUACUGGGUUACAAGUCCUCCAUUUACUUACCUUAAAAUGGAUAAAACACUAUUAGACUCAGAUAUGUAGUGGCUGAUGAGAAACAACUCUGUAAAUGUUUGCUGGAAAAAAAUCUGCCUGAUUAAUGAUCACAGGUUUAAAGUGGAAUGGCUAUGACAGUAACCACCUCUGUGCUGUUUAUGUGAGAAUGAGCAUUUCUGCUGCUCUGAUUUGAUUGACUUCUCACCCAGAUGAGAAACCCUAAUUAAAUGUCAAAAGGGACUAACUUGCAAA